GAUCCUGGCUCAGGAUGAACGCUAGCGACAGGCUUAACACAUGCAAGGUCGCGGGGUAACAUCUGGUAGAGCUUGCUCUUCCAGGAUGACGACCGGCGCACGGGUGAGUAACGCGUAUCCAACCUGGCCCAUACCACGGGAUAGCCCGUCGAAAGGCGGAUUAAUACCGUAUGCUGUCAUUAAGAUGCAUAUAUUGAUGACGAAAGGACUGGCGGUAUGGGAUGGGGAUGCGUCUGAUUAGCUUGUUGGCGGGGUAACGGCCCACCAAGGCGACGAUCAGUAGGGGUUCUGAGAGGAAGGUCCCCCACAUUGGAACUGAGACACGGUCCAAACUCCUACGGGAGGCAGCAGUGAGGAAUAUUGGUCAAUGGGCGCAAGCCUGAACCAGCCAAGUAGCGUGAGGGAAGACUGCCCUACGGGUUGUAAACCUCUUUUGUUUGGGAAUAAAGUGCGGGACGCGUCCCGCAUUGCAUGUACCAUUUGAAUAAGGACCGGCUAAUUCCGUG
rnacentral:rRNA from 1 species